GCAAAAUUGUAUGACCUCUGCGGCAAAGUACUUCGAAAUUAUACUUUUGGAAAAGAUAUAUCGUGGAUAUAAAACAACGGUCAGUAACACAGUAUUAUUCGGUGAUACCCAGUUUAUUCAAAUAUAGCUCUGCUGCGGGCAAGCACUUUUACUCUUCUGGUGGACAAAGGAAUACGUUGGCUCAAGUAUUGACGUAUAUGAAAUUCAGUGAGACGCAGUUUAUUUAAUCGCCCAAUAACGCCACUAAGAAAUAAUGAGGACGUAGCCUCAGAUUAACACGUGUGAGGACGUAGCCAUCACAAAUAAGCGAGAAUAAAAUCUCACAAGGAUUAUAAAAUAUGGAGUAC